UACGGGGGGGGCAAGCGUUGUUCGGAAUUACUGGGCGUAAAGGGCUCGUAGGUGGCCAACUAAGUCAGACGUGAAAUCCCUCAGCUUAACUGGGGAACUGCGUCUGAUACUGGAUGGCUUGAGUUUGGGAGAGGGAUGCGGAAUUCCAGGUGUAGCGGUGAAAUGCGUAGAUAUCUGGAGGAACACCUGUGGCGAAAGCGGCUCACUGGACCACAACUGACGCUGAGGCGCGAAAGCUAGGGGGAGCAAACAGG
rnacentral:rRNA from 1 species